UACGAAGGGGACUAGCGUUGUUCGGAAUCACUGGGCGUAAAGCGCACGUAGGCGGAUAUGUCAGUCAGGGGUGAAAUCCCGGGGCUCAACCUCGGAACUGCCUUUGAUACUGCAAGUCUCGAGUCCGAUAGAGGUGGGUGGAAUUCCUAGUGUAGAGGUGAAAUGCGCAGAUAUCAGGAGGAACACCAAUGGCGAAGGCAGCACUCUGGGACGUGACUGACGCUGAGGAACGAAAGCGUGGGUAGCGAACAGG
rnacentral:rRNA from 1 species